AUCACAAAGGUAAUCACAUGUUUAUGAUGUAAUUUCUUUUACAUGCCUGUCUCUCCCACUAGAUGGUGCAACCACACAGAGACGUCAUCUGAUUUACCUAGCGUGGUGCUUGGCACAUAGUAGGUGCUCAAAAAAUUACUUGAAUGAAUGAAUGAAUAAAUGUGCUUCAUCUUAGUUGACAAAGCAACGGGAGAGGCUGGAGAUGGACUUGGUACGGAUCCACCCUGCAACUUCCCUUGAGGCAUCCACCCUUUCCUCGUUCCUCACAACCCUUCCAAAGCAAAGCUGUUCAACUGUGAGAUUUGCAAUUUGAUUUACUCCUGAGUGACAUCAUAGCCAUUACCAUGGCAACACCCAGCGAUGCCUGUCUGCCAGACAAAGUCUCUCCCAUCAGCAAAGGGCAGAUGGACACCCAGGAUGGAAAGGAGCCAUUUGUGAGGCACAAGCAUCAGCCUUUGCUGCCCUGCAGCCAGGGGCUGAUGGAGCUGGUGCUGGUAUAUCAGGGGGCCACUUAGACUUCCUUCAUCCCCAGAAUCAAAGGGACCAGAAACUUAGAAGAUGUCACAAUUUUAUCUGCUACUGACCCUGCAGGCAGGGCUGCCUGGUGGUGAAACAAUAUGGUAUGUAACAGAGUCGAGACAGGUUUGUGUAGGAUGGAUGCAGGCUCCAACCCUGUGCUGCACUGCCUGGCUGCCCGAUCUCCCUCAACGAGCCUCAGUUUUUCACCUGUAAAGUGGGGAUAAUGCGUCCACAUCUCAGGAUCAUUGUGAAGAGUGAGGACAUCACAUAUAAAAAAACUGGCCCACAGAAAGCAUGGAGUAAAUGCCAGCUGUUACAGCAGCUUCUGUAGGAAGGCAGAGCCUGCCUUGCAGCCACUCCACUGGCAAACGUGUCAAUAGGAAGAGUGAGAAGUGAGCAGUGCCUCCUGAGCUGAUGCCUACAGAGGAGCUGUGACAAUCUGCCUCUAGAACAACCUCAGCAAGCUGCCUGGCCCAGGGGAAAUCCAACCGUGGUGACUUUGCCCAGAUUCUGCAAGAUGCUUUCUAAUUGUUGGUGUUCACGAGGGACAAGCAACAGCUGAGCUCAUUCCCUUCCUAUCAAUUUGCAACAUCUGCCCCAGCCCUUACUGACAGUAGAGAAAAAUAAGGACUUUCCGAUCACACCUUUAGGCCACCAAUCUUCAAUGAGUUACUGGGCCCUUCCAGAAAUCAGAUUUUCUAACUGGUCCCUGCAUUGGCUCCAGCAGCUUUGGAGUGUGAGUGCUGUCUCUUUGGAGAGAUUGUGGGCUCCUUGAGGGCUCUGCCUUUUUGUUCUGUGUAGCCCCAGCACAUAGUAGGGGAAGUCACACAGGAAAUCCAAAAGCAUGGGAAGACCCUGGGCCGAGGGAGCAGAGGCUGAAACUCUGGGAAAAGCUGUGAGGACCACAAAAGUGGUUGGGCCCCUAAUGGCCUCAAGACCCGGGGCAAGUCAUUUCUUGUACCCAUACAAGGCGUACUUCAUAGAGGCGGGUUGGUGGGCUCGGGUCUCAGUGCAGCCUUUUGCAUUGUAGAUGAGGGCUUGGGCCUCCA